GUCAGACUUUAGUAUGUAAGAAUAAACAGCAACUUAACGCUCCAGCAAGCAUUACAUGUGGUGAAAUAUUUCAAUAAUAUACCACUACCCGUGCGUAAAACUAACGAAACAUUAUUUCUAAACAGGGAUUAGAGACCCCUUUAUACAAAUGCUCACAACUAUUUUGCGGAGGACUAAAACUAUCUGAGUUAAAACUUAAGCAACAUGGCGGUAAUUUUAAUUUAGGGGAACUUACUGAGUAAUUGAUAACCACCAAGGUCAACUAACUACACAAAACUCUUGUAUGCCGUCGUCGUCAGGUAGCACUCGAGGUUCUACCUUUAUAGUACCCGCUUAAAAGACAGAUCAAGGUGCAGACAAUUGUGUAGCUCUAGCGAGUUACAGUUUUUCUUAUUAACGAAUAUACAAUGUAAACCCACAUUGAAGGCGGACUUAACAGUAAUAAACAUUACCUUUACUUUAUGAAAUUACUAAAAUUGUGUACAA
rnacentral:rRNA from 1 species